rnacentral:rRNA from 1 species
UACGAAGGGGGCUAGCGUUGUUCGGAUUUACUGGGCGUAAAGCGCACGUAGGCGGAUCUUUAAGUCAGAGGUGAAAUCCCAAGGCUCAACCUUGGAACUGCCUUUGAUACUGGGGAUCUUGAGUCCGGGAGAGGUGAGUGGAACUGCGAGUGUAGAGGUGAAAUUCGUAGAUAUUCGCAAGAACACCAGUGGCGAAGGCGGCUGACUGGUCCGGUUCUGACGCUGAGGCGCGAAAGCGUGGGGAGCAAACAGG